UUUGUACUCCCUCCGUCCCAAAAUUCUUGUCUUAAAUUUAUCUAAAUACGGAUGUAUCUAGUUACAUUUUAGUGUUAGAUACAUCCGUAUCUAAACAAAUGUAAGACAAGAAUUUUGGGACGGAGGGAAUACUAC
rnacentral:pre_miRNA from 1 species